rnacentral:rRNA from 1 species
GUGGGGAAUAUUGGACAAUGGGCGCAAGCCUGAUCCAGCCAUGCCGCGUGAGUGAUGAAGGCCUUAGGGUUGUAAAGCUCUUUCAGUGGGGACGAUAAUGACGGUACCCACAGAAGAAGCCCCGGCUAACUUCGUGCCAGCAGCCGCGGUAAUACGAAGGGGGCUAGCGUUGUUCGGAUUUACUGGGCGUAAAGCGCACGUAGGCGGAUCGUUAAGUCGAGGGUGAAAUCCUGGAGCUCAACUCCAGAACUGCCUUCGAUACUGGCGAUCUUGAGUCCGGAAGAGGUGAGUGGAACUCCUAGUGUAGAGGUGGAAUUCGUAGAUAUUAGGAAGAACACCAGUGGCGAAGGCGGCUCACUGGUCCGGUACUGACGCUGAGGUGCGAAAGCGUGGGGAGCAAACAGGAUUAGAAACCCCGGUAGUCC